GAGAGAUGUAAACUAGAAAUAUAAGGUUAAUUAUAUAUAUGUUCAGUUAUCUUCGGAUAUCCAUUCAGAUUCGGGUAUUAUUUGUUCGGGUUCGGGUAUCCAAUCUCUUCUUAUUCAAUACCCGUUCGGGUAUUUUGCUACUUCGGUUCAAAUUUUUAUUCGGUUUUUUCGGAUCGGGUUCGGGUGCCACUUCGGAUAUCGGGUAAAGUACCCACCCCUAUAUACUCGGGUCAAACUAAAUAGGAUUUUUUUAUAGUCCACUAUUAUAAAUCAAAAAUUUAAUUAUUUUAUUCUAAAUUUCUCUUAAAAUACUAUAAUAAAGUUUCUGAAUAUAGCACUGUUACACAUAAUAUUUUGACAUUUUCUUAUUAAAUAUAUUUUAAUAUUUAUCAUUCACAACUAUAUAUCUUUAAAGUUAAGAUACUGAUUUUUAUAUGUACUUAUCAUUUAGUAUAUAUAAAUUUAUUUUAUUAUUAUUUAUAUUUGAAAACUUUAAUAACUUAAUUAAGUUUGUAUAAACAAAGUAUAUAUAUUUAGAUAUAAUUUUUAUCAAUCCUACUAUAUAAAAGGAGCUAAAUCAUUGGUUCCUAAGCCCUGCCACAUGAACAAAAAUAUUGAGAACCAAUCAAUAUGCCAUGUUAUCCCGUACUAGAUCUGAAAUUAAAAAAAAAUUUCAACAAUUCGCAGCCUAUUUGACCCAUCUCCUAACCCAAUUCCGCCUCUCUUGGUUACGUAUUGCUCUCUUCUAAACAUGAUCACGUGGGCAAUUCUGUGGGUCUCAUUUUAAUUUUUUUUUCCUUUUGUCAUCUUAAAUUUAAAGCAAAAUCCAAAAUUCGGAGAAUUCGAUUUUGUAACGUCGUCCACCACCAUCAAUAUGAACAGCUUCAACUCCAUUAUGUCAUCCAUGCUCUUCAUCCCCCUUGACUACCUAUAUAAAUUCCCCUGAAUCCAAAUCUCAUCUGGAUUAACAUUUAGACCCAAAAAAAAAAAAAAAUCUCAUCUAGUAGCUUCCAUGGAUGAGAAACAAUCAGAUUUCCAGCCCCAAAGCUCCGGCAAUAUCGACCACCGUAUUCAUGGCUAAGAAUCUGAAAUCACCACCAAAGCUCCAACUGAAUCGACCACCGGUUUCAUGGAUAAGAAAAAGGGGUUGCUUGGCUCCAUCUACAGCCCUGAUCCUGCAAAAAAUAAGAUCUUCAGAGGGCUUGAUCUGUUAUUUAUGGCAAAGAGAUAUGGCCUGAUAUUCUAUGUCCCUGAAUUUCAUAUUUUUUUUGUAUCAUCUAACCUAAUUCUACACCUCAACAUGAAUAUGUGAUACAAGGUGCAUAACUCAGAACCGUGUGAGCCGGUUUAAACAUUUUCUGAAACGUCGCUCUCAGCCUCUUUAACCUCUUAUCUUAAUUUUUGUAACACUUUCAAAGUCCUAUCCGUUCUUCAAAAACAGAGUUUAGCGUUGAGUUCGACUGGUUCUGGUUCCAUUCAUCCAAAGAGUUUGAAGCAGGUUGUGUUCUUAAAGGCGAUCUGUAUGGUGGUUGUGUUGUCGAAUAGAAUAUAUUAUGCAAAUAGUAUGGCAAUCCAGGGAAUAUCAAGCCCUAUAUUAAGUGACGAUUUGAUUUAAUUAUUUAAACAGUGUUAUUCAAAAUCUUGAAUGGAUCGUUUCUCAGUUUCUCAGUUAUGUUGUUGUUGUAGGUAGAUCUUCAAGACUCUGCUUUUGAGUUAUGUUGAUGCAAGUGGGAGCGGUAACGAAAUUACGUUCUCUUGAAGCCAUACUAAUUGCAUAAUUUAUUCUGAUAUACAAGUACCGUGGGUUGUCUGUUGUGUCCCCAACGCAGGUUUAGUAGCUGAAAUAUAGUAUAUCAGUGACAGAAGCAUAAAGAAGAUCCGCUUCAUUACAUUGCUGCCGUAAGUAAGCCAUCUUUCUCCCCAGAUGUGGUGUUCAGUUACUCUGAUACACAAGCUCAUACUGACCGAUAUCAGCUAAUCAAGAAUUACUAUGAAGAUAUAUGUGCUUUGGAACAGUCAAAUAAAGUAAUGAAGUUGAGGGUGAUCUUUUUGAGCUCAUGUUUGGCAUUCCUUCUAGGUCUCAAACUGACGAGACAAUGAUAGAUGUUGCAAAGUCUAAAGACAGCCAAGAGCAGCAUGAGCCAGUGAAAGCCAACACCUGUGACUGUUCUCCUGUCUCAAUCCUUAAACCGCUAACACUUCCAGAAACACCAAAUAAAGAAAGUCCAACUAUAGGAAGCUCUUUUGUGCAAGAUAAACUGCAUCCUGGUGCAGCUAUGACUACCGAGGAAAGAGCUGGUGUCACCACUCAGAAAGGAUUUGUUAACGGAGCGUGAAGAUAAUCAUAGUUAGGUUAAUGAUGUAUCAAUGGAGCCUAAGGUUGAGUGAGAAGAGGUUGAAUUAUCUCCCACCAGAAGUUUUGAGCAUAACAACUUUGAAGUUUAUAGGGUGAAUGGCGUCGAGUCUGUGCAGGCUGUGUACUGAACCUGGAGCAAAGAGAAACACUCCCCCUGAGGAUGAUGGAAAUAAAACUACUCAAAACUCAAAGUUACCAGAAGGCAAGGAAAACUACUCUGAAACUAUUGCUUUAGGAAGCAAGUUUGGUGGUCAGGUCUCUUAUGGUGGAGAGCAUAAAGAAGGUAUGAAUUGUGGCCGAAUGAUAAAUGUGAGCGAAAACAAGACUGUAAGGGUGGUUAACUCGAACGAGGGUGAAGAUGGAUCGUUUUUCACAUUCAGAACGGUAUCUGCAACCUGUAAAGCCCAUUGCAAAGCAUGUUCCACUGAUAAUACAAGUCGGUGAAUGUAACUCUUGGAAUGAUUCUCGAAUUUUCUAUGGCAAUGAUUCAUUUUAUGUUCUUUUUAGGCUUCAUCAAGUAAGGGCGACAAAACAACUUCUCAAGUUCCUCAAAUUUCAACUCAUUUCAAACCA